rnacentral:rRNA from 1 species
CUUACACAUGCAAGUCGAGCGGAAGGCCACUUCGGUGGUACUCGAGCGGCGAACGGGUGAGUAACACGUGAGUAAUCUGCCCCUGGCUUUGGGAUAGCCACCGGAAACGGUGAUUAAUACCGGAUAUGACCACUUCGCGCAUGUGAUGGUGGUGGAAAGUUUUUCGGCCAGGGAUGUGCUCGCGGCCUAUCAGCUUGAUGGUGAGGUAAUGGCUCACCAUGGCUUCGACGGGUAGCCGGCCUGAGAGGGUGACCGGCCACACUGGGACUGAGACACGGCCCAGACUCCUACGGGAGGCAGCAGUGGGGAAUAUUGGACAAUGGGCGGAAGCCUGAUCCAGCAACGCCGCGUGAGGGAUGACGGCCUUCGGGUUGUAAACCUCUUUCGCCUGUGACGAAGCGCAAGUGACGGUAACAGGUAAAGAAGCACCGGCCAACUACGUGCCAGCAGCCGCGGUAAUACGUAGGGUGCGAGCGUUGUCCGGAAUUAUUGGGCGUAAAGGGCUCGUAGGCGGUUUGUCGCGUCGGGAGUGAAAACCAGGUGCUUAACACCUGGCUUGCUUUCGAUACGGGCAGACUAGAGGUAUUCAGGGGAGAACGGAAUUCCUGGUGUAGCGGUGAAAUGCGCAGAUAUCAGGAGGAACACCGGUGGCGAAGGCGGUUCUCUGGGAAUGACCUGACGCUGAGGAGCGAAAGUGUGGGGAGCGAACAGGAUUAGAUACCCUGGUAGUCCACACC